GCCAUAACGAAGUGUCGCAAACUCGGUGCCUUAACCAGUUGAUUGCCUCAUGAUUCUGGGGGCUGGAGAUCUGAGAAUAAGGUGUCCACAAGGAAGCACAGUUCCCGCUGGUGCCCCUCCGACCCAUCCAGCCCUUCCUCUGGAGAAGAGAAAGGGCACUGCUGUUUGCAUGCUAAUGAGCCCGACACACCGCAUUUUCCAGUUCUCACAAUGACAGCCUACACCUGUCACUCUGUGUGCCAAGCAGGGAAGGCUGCGGAUGCCACAGACACAGGGGAGGAGGUGCAGGAGGAAGGAAGAAGAUCAUCAACUCUGAACAGCAGUGCGUCAAACCUGACUUGGUAAACCAGGACAUAGCCAGAGGUUAAACUGGAGAUCCCUGCACAUCCCUCCUAAUUAGAGAAAGCCUUGGUGUUGAACAGAAUGUGGGUUCAGAUCCUGGUGUGGCCGUUGACCUUGGGCAGGAUGCCUGACCUCUGAGACUUGUAAAAUGGAGAUCACAGUUACUGGGGUCAGCCGCACUGGAUAGAUCCAGGUUUUAAAAGGGCAACCUAGGGCGCCUGGGUGGCUCUGUCGUUAAGCAUCUGCCUUCGGCU